UUUUCUUCGCCCGCAAGAAUGGAUGAGAACGGCGAAAGCAGUUACCUGGCGAAUGUAGAUCGGCGUAAAAGAGCGCCCUUAUUUCAUCCUGGAGUGGGGUCUGGCGACUCAGAAGCGCACGCAAAACUACAAAGCGGUUUCAAUAGCGCAGCCACGAGCACACUACGUGGCUUAUCACUGUGAAGAGACGUAACGAAGCGGCGUGACGGCGGCAACCAAGGCCUUCUCCGCGGAAUUCAUCGGCGUGUAGAGUCACCUCCUCCUCUAUAAACAGCUAGAGUUGCAGACGCAGCGGCGGCUGCCAAUAAAGCUUCGUCACCGUCUCUCAAUUCUCUUCCCGUCAGCACCACCAGAAGCCCCUUAUGGCUCUUGUUCUUCGCAACAAGUUGUGAUUGUGAACUGAAACAAAGGAAUUCAUCGCUGGGGAGAGAGGAAAAAGGAGUAUUGUGAGAAGAUGGGUUACGUGGUGGUGGUGUCCGUUCCCUUUAUCGUUCUGGUAUUGAUUGUCGGGUUGGUAUGUUACAUAUUGGGGAGGUCGAAAGGAAGGAGAGAGGCCCAGAAUCAGAUGAUGGUGGCUCCACCCGUCUACGGCGCGGGUGUUCCACCGCCGCCGCCUCCUCCUCCUCAACCGGAAUAUGGAGGACCAGUUUACCCGAAUAAAGCCUCUGUAUAGCAGCGUCCAUGUAUCACGAUAUAUUCUGGCUUUGAUUAUCGGGUAGAUGGUGCAUGCCUAGAUAUUGGGUUCAUUCUCUUCCUUGCUCUUCCCUCAUCUUUUUAGCUUUUAUUUUUCUUUUUUUGUUGCGUACAAAAUUAUCUCUUGUGCCCUGUUCUUCUUGAUCUCUAUGGUUACAGGUGUGACGAAAAGACCUGCUUUUCUUUUUAUUUGCUUUACCGUAUUCAAGGCAAUUAUGGUUCUUUCUC